GACGAACGCUGGCGGCGUGCUUAACACAUGCAAGUCGAACGGAAAGGCCCCUUUGGGGGUACUCGAGUGGCGAACGGGUGAGUAACACGUGAGUAACCUGCCCUUGACUUCGGGAUAACUUCAGGAAACUGGGGCUAAUACCGGAUAGGAAUCCUUGCUGCAUGGUGGGGGUUGGAAAGCUUCGGCGGUUUUGGAUGGACUCGCGGCUUAUCAGCUUGUUGGUGGGGUAGUGGCUUACCAAGGCUUUGACGGGUAGCCGGCCUGAGAGGGCGACCGGCCACAUUGGGACUGAGAUACGGCCCAGACUCCGACGGGAGGCAGCAGUGGGGAAUAUUGCACAAUGGACGGAAGCCUGAUGCAGCAACGCCGCGUGCGGGAUGACGGCCUUCGGGUUGUAAACCGCUUUCAGCAGGGGCGAAGCUUGUGGUGACGGUACCUGCAGAAGAAGCACCGGCUAACUACGUG
rnacentral:rRNA from 1 species